ACCUUGAUGUCGGAACUUUGCCACCUUAAGCUGUAGUAUGUUCUAAUAGUAAAUUUGUUCACAUUAAAGCCGUACAUGAGAUGGGUUCAGAAUGUCAUGAGACAGUUA
rnacentral:rRNA from 1 species